UACGAAGGGGGCUAGCGUUGCUCGGAAUCACUGGGCGUAAAGCGCACGUAGGCGGCUUGUUAAGUCAGGGGUGAAAUCCUGGAGCUCAACUCCAGAACUGCCUUUGAUACUGGGGAUCUCGAGUCCGGAAGAGGUGAGUGGAACUGCGAGUGUAGAGGUGAAAUUCGUAGAUAUUCGCAAGAACACCAGUGGCGAAGGCGGCUCACUGGUCCGGUACUGACGCUGAGGUGCGAAAGCGUGGGGAGCAAACAGG
rnacentral:rRNA from 1 species